GGGUGACAUCAGACGGGUGAAGGAUUCUACAGGUAGUAAAAGUAAAUGUGGAAUUUGUUGAAGACAGACACUUGCCAGGAUUCGAGGCAGUGAGUGGUACUGCUACUGAAGUAAUAGGUGACAGGAAAAUCCCUGACACCGGUUUUGCCACUGCAGACUUCUUUUUCUCUGGGAAGGAUUGUUGCACUUGAAAUGUUAUACCACCUUCC
rnacentral:lncRNA from 1 species